rnacentral:hammerhead_ribozyme from 1 species
AUCUUGUGACGAGUUCCAAAUAGAACGAAACGCGCGUCCUGGAU